AUAAGAUGUAACAAUAAACAUGGAACAGAGUGGCCCCAGGGAGAAAAUUGCAUUUUGAGCAGCUCUUACUGGACUCACUAAUGGUAUAUGAGGAGGCUACUCAAGAUGUCCAGUGGAGCCGUCCAUACCGUGGAGAGCUAAGUCUUCCUGCAAACAGCCAGCACCAACUUGCCAACUAUGUACUUAUGUAUGUGCCACACAUACAUGCUUUUCAAAGGCCAACCGUCUCUACAACUAUGAGAACACAUGGGAAUGAAGGAAAACACAGCCUAUCAAAGAAGGCAAGAAACACUGCCAAGAUUAUUUCCUUUUGUGUUGAUGACCUGUUUGAUUUUAAUGAAGCUAGUAGUAAAUGAAUAUAUGGCAAUAUAUGAAGAAAGAAUACAUAGAAGGAUAAGAUUAGAAAUCUUUUCUCUUUGCCCCCAGUAUCAGCAGUUUUAGAUAUACCCUCUGGUAUACAUUUCUAAGUGUGUAUGUAUGUAGGUGCAUAUGUGUGCAAGCAUGGUUUUCAUAAAUGAUAUCAAAAUACACACCUCGUUCCAUGGCUUAUUUUUUUACUUAACAUUUGAGCCCUUUCUAUGUAAGUACACAUAAAUCCACCCUACAAUUUUGAUAGCACCAC